rnacentral:rRNA from 1 species
GUAGGUGGCAAGCGUUGUCCGGAAUUAUUGGGCGUAAAGCGCGCGCAGGUGGUUCUUUAAAAAAAAAAAAGUCUGAUGUGAAAGCCCCCGGCUCAACCGGGGAGGGUCAUUGGAAACUGGGGAACUUGAGUGCAGGAGAGGAAAGUGGAAUUCCACGUGUAGCGGUGAAAUGCGUAGAUAUGUGGAGGAACACCAGUGGCGAAGGCGACUUUCUGGCCUGUAACUGACACUGAGGCGCGAAAGCGUGGGGAGCAAACAGGAUUAGAUACCCUGGUAGUCCACGCCGUAAACGAUGAGUGCUAAGUGUUGGGGGGGUUUUCCCGCCCCCCUCAGUGCUGCAGCUAACGCAUUAAGCACUCCGCCUGGGGAGUACGGUCGCAAGACUG